GAUAACCGUGGUAUCUUCUAGAGCUAAUACAUGCUGGUUAGCCCGACUUUUCGGAAGGGCUGUAUUUAUUAGAUAACAGACCAAUAUUCCCUGGUGUCUAUUGUGGUGACUCAUAGUAACUGAUCGGAUCGCAUGGCCUUGUGCCGCGAUAAACCAUUCAAGUUUCUGACCCAUCAGCUUUCGAUGGCAGUGUAUUGGACUACCAUGGCUUUCACGGGUAACGGAGGAUUAGGGUUCGAUUCCGGAGAGGGAGCCUGAGAAACGGCUACCACAUCUAAGGAAGGCAGCAGGCGCGUAAAUUACCCAAUCCUGAUUCAGGGAGGUAGUGACAAGAAAUAACGGGUCGGGGCAUCUGCCUCGGGAUUGCAAUGAAUCGAAUUUACACCCCUUAAUGAGGAUCAAUUGGAGGGCAAGUCUGGUGCCAGCAGCCGCGGUAAUUCCAGCUCCAAUAGCGUAUAUUAAAGUUGUUGCAGUUAAAAAGCUCGUAGUUUGAUUUCUGGACGGGCGCCAACACCCGCUUGUUAGUGUGGAGGCGGCACCCGCCCAUCCUUCUGUUAACGCCGCCGGCAUUUGUUUGCUGGUGGCGGGCUCAGAUAUUUUACCUUGAGAAAAUUAGAGUGUUUCAGGCAGGCCUGCGCCUAGAUACAUUAGCAUGGAAUAAUAGAAUAGGACUUUGACCUCUUCUGUUGGUCUGAGGGGUGAGAGUAAUGAUUAAUAGGGAUAGUUGGGGGCAUUAGUACUUAACUGCUAGAGGUGAAAUUCUCAGAUUUGUUAAAGACUAACUUAUGCGAAAGCAUUUGCCAAGGAUGUUUUCAUUAAUCAAGAACGAAAGUUAGGGGAUCAAGACGAUCAGAUACCGUCCUAGUCUUACCAUAACUAUGCC
rnacentral:rRNA from 1 species